GACGAACGCUGGCGGCGUGCUUAACACAUGCAAGUCGAACGGAAAGGCCCUGCUUUUGUGGGGUGCUCGAGUGGCGAACGGGUGAGUAACACGUGAGUAACCUGCCCUUGACUUUGGGAUAACUUCAGGAAACUGGGGCUAAUACCGGAUAGGAGCUCCUGCUGCAUGGUGGGGGUUGGAAAGUUUCGGCGGUUGGGGAUGGACUCGCGGCUUAUCAGCUUGUUGGUGGGGUAGUGGCCUACCAAGGCUUUGACGGGUAGCCGGCCUGAGAGGGUGACCGGGCACAAUGGGGCUGAGAUACGGGCCAGGAUCCUACGGGGGGCAGCAGUGGGGAAUAUUGCACAAUGGGCGGAAGCCUGAUGCAGCAACGCCGCGUGCGGGAUGACGGCCUUCGGGUUGUAAACCGCUUUCGCCUGUGACGAAGCGUGAGUGACGGUAAUGGGUAAAGAAGCACCGGCUAACUACGUG
rnacentral:rRNA from 1 species